CUUAUUUUUUUUCUUUUCCUGCACAAGCCGUCAAAUGUCAAACUUUAGAAGGAUAGUUUGAAGUAAAGAGUGAGGAAUUUUUGCUAUUGUCAAAAUUAGCACUUGAGACUGAAGAUUUGUAUGAAAGGGCCUUGAAAAACUCAGGACCGGCCCUGGUUGCGCGAAGGGUCGGCGGCGACGACGACGUCAGAGCUCUUGAGGUUUUUGUGAGGUUUUGUUAAGGGGGAGGGUUUGUAGUCAAACAAGUUAAAGAGGCGACGGUUGAUGGUGAGGUUUGAGCGGCGAGGGGCGUCGACUGCGAAGGAAGCGGCGGAGAUGAAGAGGCGGACGGUCCAUGGCAGAUUUGGUGAGCUUUGGAUUUCGGCCAUCUUGUUUUGCUGUUGACUAUGAACAAAGUAAUUAAGAGUGAAGCAGUCAAGCAGCGAAGGUGACGGAAUGGUUUUAUAAUCUACUAUAUAUCUGUCUACAUUAUGGUGGACUGGCAAAAAUACCUGAUACGCUCUGGCGUAGUUAUGUAUGGGAUUUGUGGUUCAGUGACUUCAGUCUAUUAUUUCAUCGUAGUUUUGGUUCUUACUUUUAAUUUGUUUAGGAGAAACUAUGAAUCUAACACAAGAAAUUGCACUCAAGUUCUUUU
rnacentral:lncRNA from 1 species